rnacentral:lncRNA from 1 species
GCAUUUCCGCGUUCUUGCCACCCGAUAGUUUAGCCGCCGCCGGGAGCCGCCCUGGAAGUCCGGCUUUUCCACGGGUUGGGUGGACCGAGAGGCAAAUGGCCCCGGGGGAUGGGCCAUUCUGCCGGGAUUUUUCCCUCCCUGCAAGUGUUUUAGUUUCUCUCACUAAGCAUUUCAGGAGUUAAAGCCUCCUGCUUAAGGGCUGAGUGCACCCUCCCGACUUACAGGUGGGGAACCAGGCUGGAGAGACUUUCUGGGACCAGAGCCCCAGGGUCGCCUCAUUUGUGCCCUUUCAGAGCACGCGGCCUGUCUCCAGCCUGGGACUGAAGGCUUCCCUCCUAGCGGCGUGGGCCCUGAGGGGCCACCGGAAGCCUUGAACUUGAGCACUUCACAGUGAAACUGUUUCUUAAGGAUUUCUCCUGAUAAAGUAACUUGGACGUGGCCGUCUAAGCCACAAACUGAGGGAAAGGGAAGGACGCAUUUUCCAACCUCUGAAAAUCGCCUGUGUAUUAGGGCCUGGUUAUGAAGCAGGCAAAAAAGCACCAAAAUGCAAUGCCAGAAUCCACGAUCCCUGGUUUUGUGCCAUAAAUCUCAGCCGGGAAGUGUGAGGGACGGGAGCUGGGUCAGCUUCGGAGUUCGGAAUUCUGGCCGAGGCUCUUUCUCUCCAGCCUCACCGGCCCAUCACCUCCGCCUAUGGAAAAAAAAAAACAGGUGCUGAGUCCUGCCUCCCAAGUCUAAAUGAGAAAAGGAUGUUCAGAAGGGAACCCUUAAAGGAAACGGCUUGGACCUGCCCUGGCUAGAUCGAUACUGAUCGUUAUUGACCCCGCGAAGCGGGAAGAUUGCUUGAGGCCAGGAGUUCAAGACCAGCCUGAGCAACAUAGGGAAACCCCC